UUACUUCCAGAUCAGCUUGACCAAAAAUGUUAUGUUAACUUUAAGAUUGGCAGUCUUUUUUGCUUUCUGAUCUGUUAUUGAACAACCAGUUUUGGAAACAAAACUACUCAUGUAAACACAGGAAUUGCAAGCUAAAUAGGAAUUCCAAAUACAGGAGAGCAGUGUGUUGGCUUACGUAAGUUUGACACUUAAAAGAAAUAAAACUCUUGUCCUUUCUAGUAGAGGUAUUUGUCCCUUGCUAACAAUGAGCUACAUAGGCAUGAAAACUGAAGGAGAUACUGGCAUGAAAUUAGGUGAAACUCUAUUUUAGCCCUGUUGGCUGCAGUUCAGCAAAGUCCUCUGGUAUGUUGUCCUUCCUUCUGUUAAUGAGUUGUCAUAUCAGUCUGCUAUCCAGUUCAUACUGAGCUCAAAAUUGAAAAGGCUUGCUUAGAGGUAAUAUCAGCUGAGUGGAGGGGUGAAAAGUGGUGGUGAGUGGAGUUCACCCUUCAGUCUUUUAUUUAAAGAAUGCAGUAGAGGUAAACUGGGUUGAUUUACCUAAUGCUGAUUCCAAUGAUCUUGGGAGGUGUUCCUUACUCUUGCAUUUAUUGUUACUUUUAACAGUUUGUGUGGGUGGUGAGUUAAACCUGGGAUUUAACCUAGAUUGGAUGUAGUGUGAGCUUUUUCUGAGGAGGUGUGGGGUGUGUUUUACCCACUAACUGUAUUACUUGUACAAAGAAGUACAAGUCCUGAACUUCAAGGGGAAGCUUUGGAGGUGUUUGUUUUUGUUUGUUUGUUUUUUGGAGAGUGUAUGGGUGUGUGUACACACCCACACACAUAAGCAUUUUGCCAUCUUUUACCAACACUUUAUGCUGCUCACAUAGGCUUAUGAAGGUUUGAACAUACUUAGAGAGUUCUGAAUGGCUGUGUUACCCAACAUGUUUAAUCAAAUUUGACUUAUAUCAAAUAGAAUUUGAGUCUUCUUUGUUAAAAGAUACUUUUAAUGCAUUCGUGAGAUGGACUAAAGCCUAAUACCUUUUUACGGUUUUGACUUCCAACAGUGUAUUUAGCAGCAAAGAUGAAAUAAGCUUGUUUUGAGUGACUCAUACUGAAUAUAUGCAUUGCCAUAUUUCAUAUUGCUCUUUGAAAUGGCUAGAGGCUGAGUCACUUGAAACUGAGGAAUAGUGAUGUCAGUUGAUAUUAUAUGGCAAUGGAUUUAACCCUCAGGACUUCUCUGAUAAAGGAGAGUAUUUUGCAGAAGUGGCCAGACCAGCAAUAUAAGCAUUAGUUCAUUGCCUCUGCAGUCCUGUGUCUCUAUUAACUGGCAGAGUGGAUAAAUCAUGCCUUUUAGACCAGUGAAACCAUUAUUUUUAAGAGUAAACCUUGUAUUAGAUUUUAUACUAAGAUUAUUGCGUUUAAGUAAAAGUAUAAGCCAUUGUCUUGACUAACAUUACUAAUAGUUAAGCAAGCAUUCCCCCUGUUCAGAUAGUUGAAAGGAAGUCACUGGGAAGACAACAGGAUAGUUGAAAUAAUCUCGUAUCAUUGUAAAUCCAACCCAGUGUGACUAUGCUCUUGAGUGAAACUUACUUUUUUGCUCCUGUUAGGCCUUGCAUCUGCCUCUUGAAAGUGGUGAAUUCUGUAUUGUUACUCCUCUGGAAACUUACUGUGACAUUCAUUGUGUGAAGUUCAUUGAGGAGUUAUGAAAGCCUUAUGAGAAAGAUGAAUCAGGUUGUUACUGUCCUUCAUUAUAAACUUCCUGUUUAAAUUAGCUUUAAUUUCCUUGGAGAUUUUUUGUUUUCUGACAUACAUCUUGUAUCAGGAAGUAUUUAUUGUAUAUAACUGAUGGCUCUACUAGUAUACUUAAAUAAUCAUUUCUGUCUGUCUCAGAAUAAAUAGUGCUUUCUCCAGUCUCAUGUAAGUGCUUCAAGUUUCAUUAUAAAAUUGUCUGUAUUGUUUCCCAAACUUGCUGCAACAAGCCUCUUUAAGUUUUUAACUUAUGUCUCUUAGUUUCUGCAUCUUACUUCAAAACAGUUAAGGAUAUGGCAUCCUUCUCUUCAUUUAUUGUUUGAAUAUUUAAGGCUACAGCAUGGAGGAAGAUGAAGGCAAUAAAAUUAAAAUUACUCUUAGUGUAAAAAUAGAGGCAUCUUCAAUUACUCUUAGUGUAAAAAUAGAGGCAUCUUCCUGCCUGUUUUAGUUAGGGCAGUUCAUGAAAUCCUUUGGACUUAGCCAGACCUGAUUGCAUUUUCUAGUUCAUAUUGUUCCUGUGUUUUGCCCUGUGCUUAGUCUUGGUUAAUGAUUUAUGUGUAAUUACACCUCAUAACAUUGCAAGGAAGUGUGAAACUAUUACUAUUCUGCCACAAGCUGAAGGAGUAACAAGAACUGAACUUUACAUUGUUUUUCUAGUAGUAUCUUUCAGAAUUUCUCUCUCAUAGCUGAAUCUGGGAUUAGUGUUUGGUGCAUCUUUUUCCAUUGGAGAGGGGAGCUUUUUCUGCACUUUAAUCUUUUGUAAAUUGGUAAGUACCUUGCAACAUGAGGUAGCAUUCCCUUUAGUUCAUCUUUCUGGUCUUAGCUUAAGUACUGUAAUUCUGAUUCUAGUACCUUCUUCAGAAGGAGUGUUCUUCUCUCUCAUUCUGGUUCUUUUCUGAGUGGUGUGGGUGCUUUCCUGUGAUGUGUGUUCUCUGCAUCUCAAAAAAUGGAUUCUGAAGACUGUAAUUUGGAUCACGAUUGUCUGUCGGUAUACAGUCAUCCAGUAAGAGAGCCAAAUCUUGCCAAGCUGUGGUUGAAUAGAUUUUGUGAUUUGUAUCUCAUGAGAUUUAACUUACUCAUUUACUCAGGUCAGGCUUAUUUGGUUAUCUCACUACUGCAUCUUACUUCCUAACAGGUAAGGAUAUGGCAUCCUUCUGUUCACUUAUUGUUUGAAUACAUAAGACUACAGCAUGGAGGAAGAUGAAGGCAAUAAAAUUAAAAUUACUUUUAGUGUAAAAAUAGAGGCAUCUUCCUGCCUGCUUUAGCUAGGACAGUUCAUGAAAUCUUUGAAUUAUGAAUAACACUUCAUAUAUUCGUUGUUGAAUUAUGAAGUCUGUGGAUAAUUAGGUAGGCUGGUUGUUGGUUCUCAAGGGUAUAAUAGAGAUACUUCAUUUUUUCUAGUGGAACCUGGAUCUGUUACUUACAGAUCUGUGGGGACUGCUUUAGAACUCUACCACCUGUUACUCAUCCUGUCUUUCUUAAAUGGGGAGGUGUUCUUCCCUUCCCUGCCUAGCUAUACCAGUUAUCUGUCAGAGCUUAAUUUGCCAGGGCACUGAAGCCUGACUGCAUGCAUCAUAAAUAAAACUUGCUUUUCCUUAAGUCAGACAGAAUUAUGUGUUUGGAAAACCCCUCUUUGCUUUUUUUUUUUUUUUAGAUGAAAAUAUAUGAAGCGUUGUUUGUCUUCUGCAGGUUCUUGUAUCAGACAGUGGCACAAGCUUGCCAAGAUAGGCCUACUGAUUCUAUCUACUAUAACAAGUGACUUUGUUUCUGUUAUUGUUCUCCAGAGAACCUUUCUUGCUUAUAUGCUUAUCGACAAACUUCUUGUUAAUGCUGUAUUUGUUUACAAGUGUUGUUCUUCUGUUGUCACUGCUAAAUCAUAUUUUGACAUGUGCUUUCAAAUGAUAAUCUGCCUUAGAGUGAGCCAUAGUGUACUGUGCAUAAUGAUCAGCCAGCAUUCAAAUGAGAAAAGAUAGUGACUAGGUAUUGUGAGGUGCUCAUGGGACUAUAGGGUCCUAUUCUUUUUCUGUAGUCACUUCAGAAUUAGAGAAAAGGGCUGAGGAAGUGUGCAGCAUUUUUUUUUAAUGUUAGUAUUGUGCAUGUCUAGUUUGAAGUACUCUGAAGACAAUUCUGAACCCAGUGGGUGGGUGACUUCCUGAUAAGUAAAUAGUUUCAAGUGUGUUAACUUACAUGAUUCCUACAUGAUUCAUAUUGAUUGCCAUGUCCAAGCACUUAAGAAAAAUUUUAACUAAGCUGUAUAAGUAAGUGUAUAUAUAUAGAGAGAGACACUUGUGUGCACAUCAGUGGGUAGGAUGUGUUUUCUUCUUAAUAUGGCCAGCUGCAGCUGCAUGGUACAUUUCCUAAAUGCACUGAACUGUAGAAUGCUAGGAAUAAGAAAGUAGUACUUGUGCACAUGGUGUAGCUUGUUCUGAAGCACUUCAGUAAAUAUAAAAUGUUUUUAACCUCCUGUCUUUGCAUGUGUAGGCACUAUCAGUGGUCUCUGGCUAGCCUGAGUGUAAUUUGAUGGGAGGAAGAACAGGUGACUCUGGUUCCUGAGGCCAACUUCAAUGUUUGAGAGAAGCAGAGAAAUCUUCAAUAUAGUCCAACCAGUUGAUAUGUUUGAGCCUUUUUGCUUACAUGUUUAUAGCUUCCCAGAAACCAAGGCAAUAAUUUGUAUUUGUGAUUAUUAAAUCAACACUGCCCAGCCAAAAGUGGUUCAUCUGUAAACUUGUACUGAUGCUCUUAAUGUAUUAACCUCUAUGCUUCUACAUGCUGCAUUAAAUUCUUUUCGAUACAAUGGUGAGAUCUAGCUGUUUCAGCAACUUGUCACCAGUACUAUCCUCAAGAACCCACUGACAGGUUGACUGCAGCACUGAAUUUGGUGUUGCACAGGUGUAAACCAUUAUAAUACCCUGUGUGAGAAAGGUAGGGACUCUCUGAUGUGGUGGAACUAGCCUCUAGUUACUCUGAGUUGUCUAAUGCAUCCUGAAAACAGUCCAAAAGAAAUAAACUCACCUGGGUGGUUACCUGCUGUUCAUUAGGAGCUUCCUGGUCUCUGCUGGAGGAACAAAUUGCCCUUUACUUUGCAUUAUGUCCAAAGAACAGCAGCUACAGAUGCAUGCAGGACCUCUUGCCCCCAGCCAUCUCACUGUCUGAGCUGAGCAGGCUGCAUAGAAAAGUCUUUGCAGAUGACUCAGCUCUGAAAGAAGCUUGCUUCAUAAGGUAAGGCAUACCUAGUGUGAACCUCCAAUUAUGAUAUAGACUUGAGUAUUUCUGAAAAAGGCUUUCAUUCUAAAACUUAAGUGCAGGUUAAUGGUUAUGUUAAGCUUGAAUUUGCAUAUGAGGGUGCUUGGUACUCUUUUGUCUGAGCUAUUCUCCAACAUCCUUUGCUGUCAUAUGAGAAACUAUGGACUAUUAAAUGACUAAGUAACCGGUUCCCUCAAUGAGGGGGGUAGCUGCUACUUGAAAAUGCAUUUUUGUGCCCAGUGUCUGGAGAGGAAUAAGGAAAGCAGUGUUGGGAUAGUGUGACAGAUUCAUACAGAAGUUAGAUCACUCAGUUAAACUGAAACAUGUAUUAGGAGCAAGAAGUUCUUCAUGUUCACAAAUGUGCAAGUCAAUCACCAAAAGGUUAUAGGUAGGCAACAGAGUCAAAUGGGAGGAUAAUAUCGAUUGCACAUGUCAAGAUACUAGCUUAAAAGAAAUAAAGCAGAUAAUGAAUUUAAGCUUUGAGAGCAGGGGAAAGGGGAUUUAGAGUUCUUCACCUCAAACAUGCUCUUGUUUCUUUUUUUGGUCAUUCAGCACUUAAGUGAGCUGGAAAAAGAAGGUUAAGUCUUUCUAGCUGGCUAACCGCAAAAUAACGGACUGCUGUAAACAACCUCUGAAUCGCCUUGUGCUCCCAGGGGAAUUUUUUCCAAUAGUUCAUGGCCAUGAUGCUUGUGGCAAAUUAAUCAUGAGGGAAAAAGAUGAAGUUGUGGGUUGCACCAGAAGAGAAAGAAACCGAGUACAUGGUGACUGAAUCCUCUGAAUAAGUCGAUAACAUAAAGUCAGAAUUUAUACUGUGGUGUGGGCUGAGUAUUAUGUACUGAAAUCUGACCCUCUGGAAUGUGAAGAUUCAGAAACUCAAAUGAUUGCUGCUACUAGACAAAAAUUACAAGGCUAUUAGUUUUCUAUUGACAUCAAUUGUCUUAAGAUACUCUCCUGUCUAGACUUGCUAUGAGGACUGCAUAUUUAGUCUUCACUUUUGUGUAGCAAAAGAUGCAGACUCUGAUAAUACGGCAUGUUUGAAAGUGUAAUUAGUUAACUUUUGAGAUUUGUGAAGUUUUUUUCCCUGUGUUUCAUGAUACAGAGAUUCAGGCAUGGAUUCCAGAAAUUCUUCUUAAAUAACUUAUUUGCAAGGUACAGCAUAGAGUAUCUUCAGCUGGGUGCUUCCGGAAGAGGGACCCCCAGCCAAAAAAAACCUUUGACAAUUACACCCUUACAAUCUAAGCUUCCCACCCCUUGUGCAUCAGUUUGGGUCAAUUGUGAAGUUUAGAGUCUGGGUUCUCCCCGUUCUUCAUUGGAUCUCUUUCAUCAAGUGGGCAGUUUCUUAUCUCUGUGGGUAGUUGUUUUUUUUACCACACAGGCUAGAUGUCACUCAAAGUUCUGACCUUCAGAUAUUUUACACCUGUAGCUUGGAAGAAAAAUAAGUUCUUGGCAUAGCCAAAACACUUUUCCCUCUCACACCAUUCUGUUCAUUUUCUGAUCUCAAGGGAUGUAGCUCCUUUAUCCUCUAGUUUGAAAAGUCUCAAGGGCCCUUUUUGCUUAAUGAGGCAGAAAGUUGAAAAGUUCACAGGUUGCAGCCUAAGCAAACUUAUUUAUGCUAAGCAAAUUCUGUAUAAACAGUUUCUGAACAAGUUCUAUAAGAAGCAUUAUACCAAAAAAUUCAAUAAGGCAGUCUAUUCUCUAAUGUUGUUUUUGAGAUUGUCGUAGCACCCAACCGUAUAUAUCAUCAAGGUAUUCCACGGGUCCGUAUCUGAUUUUAGGACUUACUAUGGCCUCUGGACUUCUGGUUUGCUCCAGCUUUGGUCCAAACUGGUACGUCUCUGCUUGAAUACUUUGACAGUCUUCUCUGUUAUAUUGUCAUAACAAAAAAGUGGUUUGACCUCAGCAGAAAGGUUAAUGAGGCAAGAAUGAUUUUUUUUUUUUUUAAUAAAUAAUGUACGGCCUUGGUGCAAACCUCUUCAAGCCUCUAAGAAUAUUUUAGAAACUCAAAAAUAAGCAUAGAAUUUUAUAUUAGCUACAGCUUUUAGGUUGGGGAGAAGUAAAGGUAAUGAUGUCUACUGCUAAGCUUGGAUUUAUUACAUCCUCAGUUUACUGAAUAUAUGUAUAAAGAUUGCUCACUGCUUUGCUGCUGCCAUAGCAGCUUCUAUAGUGGCUGUGGAUGGAAUUGAUGAAACACUGCAGUAACUACACAGCAUGUAUAGUACUUGAACUUUGAAACAAACUGGUCUUACUCUAAGAAGCAAAAGAGAGAGGAGAAUCAGUGUCAAUACUGCCUAGUACUCUUUAUUGUAAGCAACUUUUUUGCCUAAGAACUAUAUAAUCAGGAUCAUUUCUGGUAGAACUUAAGGAAAAGGAACAGUGCUAGAGAUGAGGGGUUUUUUUUCUACACUCAAAAGAUUAAAAUUACAAAUAGGGUGACAGAUAAAUUAUUCCAGCUUUGAAUUUUUUUUUACAGUGCAAAUAGCUCUUGCUUUCUAUGCAUUAAGAGUCUUGACAGCAUUGUGUGUGGCAUUCUCUCUUGCCUGAUAUCUCAUGGAAGAUUUCACGGAACUGAGAUUUGAAACUGUGCAAAGAUAGAAUGAACUGUUAUGAGGACUGCGAAAAUCACAUACCCAAGAAAGAGAUUUGUGAAGUAGAUGUUCGUUUUUCAUAGAUAUUAGAAGCUAAAUGGAGAUGAAGGGUUAUAAGUAAAAGUAUUCCGUCUAAAGCUUAAAGAGGCAAUUCAUCUCUUCUGCAAAUCUGUGUAACAAAGACUGGAAUUUCACUUCAUUCUUAAUGCUAUUGUUUUGAGCCCAGUAACUUGCCUCUGACUGGUGAAUAUUGUUAUAUUCAUUGACAGCUUUUAAUAGAUCUGGAUAAAAUAACUUACUAGUAGCAAUCAAAAAAGCAUACUAUUUUAGUAGUCUAGUUAGUAAUUGGUAAUAGGUCUAAAAUUCAGAAGUGGCAAAUGUUAUAUAAAUCAAGGCAGUAGGUCUGACUGAAAAUUUAAAAAGCUGUUCUUACCCCAUAUCUAAAGAUUUAAAUGAUGCAGAAUAAAGGUCUUACAUCUUCUGUCUUCAGUUUACUAUCUACCCAUACAACUGCUUUGCAUUUGAAAUCAGAUUUUUGUAAAAGAAAAAUUUAAGUACAUUACUACAUCUAUAGUAUGAUGUGUCACACAUUUUUCUUGGAUAUCACUUAGUAUACUGCAGUUUUAGUAGUGGGGUUUUUUUUUGCCACAAUGAGGAAAUAGGUCAGAAUUGCUUGGUUUAUUUCUAGUAGUAAUGUGAAAUAUAACUAACUUCUAAGCACUGAUUUUAGAGUCAUCUAGCAACCCAAAAGUUAUCUACUGCUGAGCCUUUAGAAUCAAAUUUCUUGUAGCCUUGUUUCCCUGAGUGAUUUUUUUUAUUAUUUUUUUUAUUUUUUUUCACCCUCUCUAACCCAGUUAAGCAUGCUAGAUCAGCUCGGACUCUGGGUCUGCCACAUGAUAUGUGAGCAGCUCAGUUUGACUUUGAGUUACAUACAGCAUAAUUCCAGCUCAUCUAUGCUUAAAUACUUGUUCUUUUUCUCCUCCUUUCCCUUGCCCACUUCUUGAGAAAUGGAAAAAUUGUAGAAAUCCAAAUAGGACAUAUUUUUCCUCUCUGUGACACUGAAGCCUGCCUGUUUAAGGAGAGGAAAACGAUCUGUUCUGCUACAAGAGGAGUAAGAAAAGCCAGCUGGGCAGUGAGAAGAGGCUUGCUUGAAUUCUGAUGCCCAAGAUGAUGCAGAACACUUAAUGGUCAAAAAAGUCUCCAGAUUUCCAGCCCACAUGAUUGUCAAUGGUCAGCAUGAGUCCUAAUUUGCAGGGUCCUCAUGCCCUGCAGAAGUUGAGGCUCAGCAAAGUUCAAUAUCUCCCUUUGGUAGUAGGAAAAACUUCAAAACCUUCUGGGCUGCACAACCAAGUUGUGUUGUAGCCAGAAGGGAAAACAUGACCACUCGUCCCAUCCUAUAUCAUUUGUUUUCUUCCACUAUGCAUUUCUACCCACUUUACAAGCAUUUAAAAGAUUCAAAAGUAUUUUCUGUAAUAUAUUUUACUACUACACUAUUUUUAAAGAUAGACAUUUCUUCAUUUUGAAGAUAGAAACUUGUUUGUAAUACAUUACAGGUGUUGAAUAAAUACAUGAAUGUUUAAAUUGGUUUGAUAUUAAAGGUUUUUUAAUUUUCAUCAAGUUGUACAACUAUUUAUGAUUUCAGAGAAUCAAUAGUGAUGGCAUGUUCUCAAAUGGUUAAUGUGAUAUUAAAAGAAAUAACUGCCCUUUCAAAAACAGUAUGGGGAAAAAACUUAGAUUGGCUGUACCUAUCUAUUAAUACCUUCUCAUAUUUAUUUAGACUGAAAGAAGUUACUUAAGUGUGUUUUAUAUUUGAGAAGGCCACAUUCCUGAGCUGCAACAGGUAGAUCCAGAGUAUUCCCCUGGAGGAAUCUGCCUCUCCAGUGAUGAACAGGAAAGUCUAGGGAACUAGCUGGCUCAUGUAGCAAUAUAGUCACAUUAACUAAAAUCAAAUUAUACAGGUAGUCCUUUAUAAAAUCUGAAGUCAGGGCAAGAAUCAUCAAGCUUUUAAAUAACAAAAAGACAAAGCUUCAACUGAGAAGGGCAACGUGAAAAAGCAGUGACAAGAAAAAUGCUAAGGAAUUAAGUGACUAUCCUAUUACUUUGAGGAGCACUAUACAAAUUAAGUGCCUCAUAUAAAUUCUGAUCAAUAAUUUAUAAAAAAUGAAUUCAAAAGCAUGUUGCAUUUCUAUUAUUAGGUUAGCUUUCCAGGGCACAGUCCCAUUUGUAACACUGUAUCUCAUAGACCUGUGGGGCACAACUUCUCAUUAACUUUUCAUGUUUGCCAAAAAUAUCAUAUUUAAUUUACUUUUUUCUGAUUUUAUUCCUAAUUAUAAUCUCUGUUUUCAUGUUAUUAACUUGAUCUCCUUAGAAACACCUAAAAAUAGGCCCUGUUUUCCACUCCUCUUGUAUGAAGUAGCAUUUAUCAUCUUGUCCUAAAAACAUUUAUUCUCUAUUCUGUCCUUGAUAGGCAGCUCUGAUGUCAGAGGACUUCUCCCUUGUGCAAACCUCUUGGAGGCAAAUACAACAUAAGUAUCACCAUACUAACUGCUGCAGUCUCCACCUAAAAUCCCUGCGGGCAAACAUGAGGAACUUAUAAUUUGCCUUUCAUUGCAGUCCCUCCUUUGGUUACAAGCUAAAUUGUUUCUCCUCAUAAUCAGUCCAUGAGAUCUUAAAAUCAUUUUUUGUGGUUGCAUCAUAUUUCAUCCUGCCCACUCUCUUCAUCUCUUUCCAAGAAACAUUUUCUGUGAGUCUUAUGGCAGGAAAUGAUCCACUUGUUGGCUGUACUGACCAUGUAGUGAUAGUAUACUUCUGUAACUGAGAUGAAAGAGCAUCUAAACUUGGGUCCUGAAGUUUUCAGUUGUAAAACUUUCUUGUAAAGCUCCUGUGCCCAGUCAUCCACAGGACUAGGAGUUGUAAUUGUGCUCCCUGGACAGGGUUUGAGAGUUCACUGUAUUGGAUACAAAGAAUGAGCUGUCAUUAGUGGUGGUGCUGAGGUCUGAAAAUCAAAUACAUAGAACUCUUGGGUAUACACGGGUAAAAGUUUAGGGCUCUUUUCAGAGAUUUCACAGAGGUGGUUUACUGAUUUUAUGUGCCCAAGCAAACAGGACAACUAUUUCUUAUAAAUACAAGUACUGCUGCUAUUAUAAAGGAGUUGGGUACUUGUAAAGUUAUCUAAGCUGUCAAAAGUCUCCAGAGUCUGUUUGGACCACUUUAAAUUCUCAGAAAUUGUAAGGUUUUGCCAACUAAGCCAUCUAAAAGUUAAAGAAUAUUUUCUGAGAUCUUGAAGCAUAAUGAGCCAAUAUGAUAACUGUCUUCUGAGCUCACAAACAAGUUGCUCAUAUCUUUUGAACAAGAAAUCAUGAAGUUUGUGUUGUCAGCUGAUAAAACAAAAGCUAAUACCUGCAUUUCUAGAUGUGAUUUCAGAUUUAUAUAUUUGAUUCCAAAAAUACCCCAACAAAACAAGACCAUUUGUGGUCUGUUAAGCAAAAACAACCCAAAAAUAGAAUCUGAUUAAGAACUUGCUGCUUUGAUAUGGGUAAGUAUCAUGCUCGUUCUGUCUUUUCAGUUGUUUUGUGAAACUUAAGUCUAUUCUGUGAAAGUGAGAGUACUGACAUUAAUGUCACAUUAGCCACAGAGGUGGGUCAUAGUAAUGUAUGUAAUUCAUGUGAGUAAUGUCAUGCCAAUUCCUCAUUUAUGAGGAUUUUUAUGAGUAGAUCUGAAACUUAGUCUUAAAAAAUGAAGAACGAUGAAGAAAAGUCAUGACCUGAUCAUGCUCUAAAAUGAGAUUAAAAAAUCGCAAGCAAAUAGAUAACUUUUUGAGUAAUGGAUGUAUAUCUGAAAUCUGAAGUGGAAAAAGACGGCUAAAUUGAUGCAAAACAAAAGGGAUCCCCAGAGCUGUUUGUUGAGCAGAUGUUUCUUUUAACUAUGCAUCUCUCUGUGUGGGGUGAGAGCAGUUGGUUUGCCUUUGCUGAUCCUGAGAUGAUAUGAUAGCUCUCCAUUUUUAUGUGGUCAAUGAAGCUGUGAGGCAUGAGGCCAAACAUCAGCUAAACAUAAAUCAGUAAUUCCAAGCAGCCGUAAUUCUAAAGGUACAGUGUAGCAAACGAAGUAACACAUUAAAUUGUUACUCCAUCCAGCGCAGGCAAAAAGCAUCAGCUGGAGAACUUGAGAAUACCUUCAUAUUUUCAGAAAAGUGUACCCAUUUGGACAGAGAAUGUAGAAAGCUAUGUGAAUUACAGAAGUCUAGUAAAUGUAACUUAGAAAAAAUACUUGCAGAAAUUACUGGUUAGCUCUUCAAAAACUGAGGAGAGAAGGAAAACUUCAAAUAGGAAAAAAGACUGCUGCAAAAAAAAAAAAAAAAAAAAAAGGAAGUAGUAAAUUUUUGUCUUUUAAAGUUGCAUUUUCAGCCACCUAAUUCUUGAUAAUUUAAUGUCUGCCCUUUUGGAUUGGCAUAGCAAAUAAUUAUUGUUCUAUUUACAGCUAAGAGUUUGUCUAUAAUAAAUGGUGCAAAAGCCAGAAAAGUUUGUCUUCCUGAUAAUGAUUUCUUGCAAAUGUCCAAAACAAAUACAAAAUGGAUCUUUUGGCUCGUCUCUUUUACUGUGAAAUACAGCUUAUGGUCUAAAUUGAUUCGAUUUAGAUUCUGUUGCAAAUAAUUUACAUCCUGUAGAAGGGGAUAGAUGUCAGAUCAUAUGCAAAAGAAGGAAAAUGCAGAUUUAUUAAUUUAUCUGAAAUCAAACACUUAUUUCAGAAUAAGUGACCUGGAAAUGCUUCAUAUCUUGUUCUCUACUGUGCAGUUCUUUGUUUGAAAAGGAAAAUCAACUUUUCUAUCAUCUAUUGUAGUAAAAGUAUUGUUGAUACAAUAUAGGAUAUUUGAUAUCAUAUAGGAGAGAACACCAAUGCUGACAACAGACAAGUGAUUUAAAACGGAAGUGAAAUUCCCUCUUUGUAGAUAAUUACAGGCACUAGUGAUGACAUUAGAUGCAUCUGAGUAAUCACAGUUAAUGCUUGCUGUUGCCAAUUAGCUUUAUUAGCACAAGCAAUUUGAGCACAGGAUGACAUUAAUUACUGUAAGCAGCUUGUUCAUUUAUUGAGUAGUGUGCAUUUAGAAAAGGGUUAUUCCAUCUGCAAAUUAGUCAUAAGCCUCUUUAUCAUUAGAAAUUCAGGAACACUGAGGAAAAAAGACUUUACAAUGCAGAUGGAAAAAAUUGCAUGAUGAAAGUUUGGCAAUAAUUUUAGUAUUUUACUAUUUUUUUUCUUUUAAAUAAAAAGACAAAUGCUCUUGUAUCAUUUCUGUCUGAAAGCUGUACAUGAGUGAAACAAAAUUACUGCCAUUAGAGUUAAGGCAAGACAUUAUAACCAUUAGGUAAUAGCAAUGUUGAGUUGCAAAGGUGUACUGCAAAAAUAAGGGUAAGGGUAUCUAGCAAAAACAACAACAACAACAACCAAAAAACAAACUACAAAAAACCACCAAACAUUACACUCCAAGCUGCACAAGAAACACAGGUCUUAUUUUCUUGAUUUUUGUCAUAUGAAGAUGUUUAUUGAUCUGCGACACAGGUAUAAUUUUUUUUGUAGAAAUCUACAUAUAAGAAUACAAUCUUAAAUGUGGAAUGUGGAUAAUUCCAUUAGCAAUAUAAAAAGAGUCAUUGUAAAAGUAUGUUUACUCAGAAAUGCUAUAGCAAAUGAAAUUGCAGCUAUGAGCUGAUUUCAUUUGUACCACCACAAUGGCUCACAAAAUUAUUGCUACAGAGAUCUCAAAAUCAUGAUGUUUUCGAAACAGGAAUUUGAAACAAGAUUUUUUUUUUGUGUCUCCUAAGUUUUUUUUUAUAUACCAGAAAUUGUUAGUUCUUAAUUUAAGGGUAAUAGAUUUGAAAGACAAAACUUACCUUUCCUCUAUUUUAAGUCUGUAGAUAAUUUGAGCUUGAAUCAGGAAUCAUAUUCUCCAUGUUUUCCAGUAACUAAUUGCAGUUUUUCUUUUAAGCUAUCUGUUGCAAAUCUUGUUUUGGACAAGAUAUCCACUUUCAAAACUGAAUUUUGAGGCGUCUUAAAGAAUGACAGAGUCAUUAGCAGUGGUUGACUUUUGCACUGUUGUUAUUCUUCUCUUUUUUUUUCCAUCCACAAUUCCUGUAGAAGCAGUGCUGUCAGAGUAAGUAGCCAGUCUGUGGCUUGUGGUAUGGUGUGGGUAUGUGGUCUCCUAUGGUAAGACCACACUACAUUAUCAACUGUGGACUCUGCUAUAUGCAGGCUUCUAGGGUGUGUGCAUUCCUGCUUCUGGGAUUAAAAAAAUGAGUUACUAGAGGCCAGCAAGGCUGAAUAAUGCUGGCUUGCCCUUGGCAACACAAUCAGCUAAGGCUGAUGAGAUACUGAGAGUUUUCACUGAGAUGUGGAAGUGUCAGUUUGGAUGGUGUCCAUGCCCAUCAUAGCGGGGAGAGAGCUAGGUGUUCAUUAAAGGUCCCUUCCAACCCAAACUAUUCUGUGAUUCUGUGAGUCAAAGGUUCAUCCUGCAGUGGUGUGGAGGAGCUCCUCAGGAGUGACUGUCUUCUUUUGCAUGUAAACUCCUUCUAGAAGUUGUCUUCUCCUGAAGGUAAUACAUGUGCCCUACAGGCCUCUAAUAAUACUAAAUUAUUUUAGUAAGUACAAGGUCAGGUAAGGAAGGUUGUGUGACUUACACUUUGAUGUCCCUGUUGCCUGUGUCCACAAAUUUCCCAUGAACUGUCCUUAAAAUGAAAGCAUAUACUCAGUUUACAUCACUGUUUUCCACUGCAGCAGCUGUGUUCAGUGUCUUAUGUCUGUCUUUCAGUCCCAGGACAUCUGCAACUCAAAAUUUCCACCAACUUCUGACAAAACUGAUUUUAUCAGUACAAUAGGUGGCUUUAUUAUACCGUGAUGAAGGUUUAACUAUCCUGAUACACCUGUGUCCACAGAGGAAUAACUUUGCUCGUAGAGCAUACUGAUAUUGUAUACUGGUACCCUUUGUUAUAAUCCAUUGCACUAAGCAGGCUGACGGAUCCUCAUCCUAAAGGAUCUAGCCUUCAAACCUAUCUUUGGUAACAGUCACCAAUGAUAAAGCAUUGUUUCAAGUGCACUUCAGGCCUUUCAAAUUCACAUUAGCUGAAAAAUAACUGAUCUUUCUCUGUAACCUUAAUAUCACUUUCCAUACAUGUUUUGAUUCAAGUAGAAGUCUCCAGCAUGCACAAACUCCUAUAAGUUAUCUCCCUGAAAAGCAACAAACCUUUAUUUGUCUUCCAGCCUUAUGUCCAUUUUCAACUUAUUUGAAUGCAUUCAGCAUUGAGAAGCUUUGUAAAUACAGAGUUGUAGUUGUCUCAGCAACAUGCUCUAUACUUCCAGGAUGCCAAGAGUAUUAAUAGGUGAAAGUGCUGAAAACACAGAAUUAGUAGGUUUGAAGUGUACAGUCUUCAUAGCAAGCCACUUAAGUGAACCCCAGGAACUGAAUCAACAGAAGAUACAGUGCAAGCAUAAUACAGAUAUGCAGCCCAAAAAUAAACACAAGAAAAUAAGUUACUAAAUGGUUGAGUAUUCUGCUUUGUGAUGUGUUUGAUCUGACACUACAUUUUGUUAGUCAUGUGCCUAUGCUCCAGUUUCUUGUUGGCACAUAAUGAACUUUUUUCAUUUCUGGAGCAACAGUUGCUUGUGACAGACUGUGACAACUUAUUCUGAGGAUGAGUUUAUUUGUAUUAAGAAUGGAGGGUCCCUUCUUAUUUCUGUACUGAAGAUUAUACUACGGAGCUCUCUAGCAAUACAUGAAAAUGUGUAAAAGGGCAGGGGUGUAUAUACAUGCACACAGGAAUAAAUGAAGGGGAAUUUUAGGAUUUAAAAAAAUUAUAGCAUUUGACCACUUGAGUCUGGCUUGUCAGGUGCUUCCGAUUUUUGUAGCUUUGUUUUGAUGGGGAGGAUUCUUUGUUUCUUUGUUGUUCAUUAAAGUCACAAGUUGAAAGUUUCUUGCACAGUGUGCAAUGUUGCCUGAAAGGUUAUGGUGCUUGUCAAAGACUGGGAUCACAGCAUUGUUCUGUGAGAUAAAAUAGCUGGGAGGCAAAGAUGAGGUUGAAGAGAAAGUGCUAUUCCUGACUGCAGAGAGUAAUUGUUAUUAUUUGCUAAUACAUUGAAUUGUUACUUAGAAAAAUGAAAACAAUGCUGUGUUUUAAACAUAAUACCACAUUUGCAUUCUGAAGGUACAAAAAUGUCAGGCAUAUUUAGCAAUCACACACCUGUAUUAGCAAACAGUGGCCUGUAAAUUUUCCUUUGUUGUUGUUUUGAGGACACCAUCGCAUAGACACUGAGCAAUUCUGAUAUUGUUCUGGACUUUCCACAUAUCUGUUGGGCCACAGGGAUUAUUGAAAAAAGAAAUAAAAAAGGAUUUUGUCAAAGUUCUUUGAGAGCAAAGCCUGAAGUAGAAUGAAGUAGCACUUCAGGCUUCAUAGUGUAUAAGCCAUUUUAAUAGGAAAGGGCAGCCAUUGUGUGCAGAGAAAUGUGGAACAGCACAUUCAUUUCAACAGAUGUUCUUCACUGACUGAGCAUCCCAAACUGCAGAAACACAGCUUGGCACAAUAGCUCUGAGAGCCUAAAACCAUUCUGUUCUAUAGAAAAAUAUUCCUCUUCCCACACCUCCCGUUCUUGGGAUAUACCACUGUUCAAAACAGUCUCAUUUACACAGGGAUUUAUGACAUGUUAGUGACCCAUGAAGAUGCAAUACUGUAUCUGAGAAACCCAGUGAACCUAUAAUGCUGAAUUCGCAUCACUGCAACUUUUGCCACCUUUCCCCCAUGGACUAAGGAAUAAUAUUUUGAUCAGAUUGGGGGAAGGAAAGAAAAAGAGGUGCAAUUAUGCCAACAUAAAGUUGCUUCUAAAUCUACAGAGUUGGUAAAAAGAUCUACCAAUGUUUUUGGUAUUUUGUGAUGAGUUGCAACUAAAAGCACAAAUAUUUUAGAAUCAUAGAAUGUCUUGAGUUGGAAGGGACCCACAAGGAUCAUCAAGUCCAACUCCUGUCCCUGCAUAUGACAACCCCACAGUUCACACCAUGUAUCUGAGGGUGUUGUCCAGUCUCUUCUUGAAUACUGUCAGGUUUGUGGCCUUGACUGCCUCCCUAAGGAGCCUGUUCCGGUGCUCCACCACCCUCUGGGUGAAGAACCUUUUCCUAAUAUCCAACCUCAACCUCCCCUGGCACAUUAUCCUGCCAUUCACUUGGAGGGAAUCUCACAUUUACUAUACACCUGGUACUUGGUUCUGAUAUUUCCAAAACUAACUAUUGGAACUAUUCCAAGCAAACUUUAUUCUCUGUCCCUGUUGAUGGCUCUUCCCAUAAUGCUGACAGCUACUGUAAUCAGGUUGGUGGUUGGGCCCUCCUCCUGCAAAACCUGGCUAGUUUGGGGUGUAGGUAUCCUGGUUUCCUAGGUACAGGGAACAGACUCAAACCCUGCUAGUCCUGGCCUUGUCUCAUAAUUAUUUGAUAUGCCCCUGGUAAACUUCUAAUUCUUAUCAGAUUGCAUUUGCACAGCAGUCAAAUAUUUAUCUCCAGGUUUAGGCUGACAGAAAGAAAUAAUGUAGAAAAAUAUAGUUAUUUUCUGUGUUUGUUUCAUAAUCUGAGAUAUUAUUUUGGCUGACUAAAGUAGUCAGCAGCAUCCUAGUCAAUAUGGACCAUAUGCAAGUGUUACUUCUAUAAUGGAUUUUCUGAUGCUGAGCUGCCCACCAUACUCACAUUAGAGAGUCACACAUGCUUUUUACUCUAACACACCUAGCCAUGUUGUUCACGGAACUAAGAAGGAACCUUCAGCAUAUGUACAAUUUAAGUAUGACUUGUGCUGGGACAAGGGGUGAUGGUUUUAAAAUAGAAGACAGUAGAUUCAGACUAAAUACAAGGAAUAAUUUUUUCACAAUGAGGGUGAUAAAACACUGGAACAAGUUGCCCAGAGAUGUGGUAGAUACCCACCCCUAGAAAUAUUCAAGGUCAGGUUGGACAAGGCUCUGAGCUACCUGAUCUAGUUGAAUAUGUCCCUGCUCAUUGCAGGGGGGGUUGGACUUAGAUGACCUUUAAAGGUCCCUUCCAACCCAAACUAUUGUAUUAUUCUAUAUUUCCUUAGUACUGCUGAUUAUUGUAUUGCCUUAGCACUGGUAUUUCCAGUCAUCUGCCAUCCUCUGCUUUCUUAAUACAAUUUUGUUUGCUUGCAUUCUUAAAAUAAACAUCUAAACAAACUUGUAAGGUUCAGAAUGGUCUGAAAUACUGCAUAUUAACCCAGCUUUCAUGUAGAGCAGCAGGAACACUUGCAAAACACAAGCUCAGAUUAAGCUCAGUCUCAAGGUGUUGUGAAGAAGAGAGCUUAAACUCAAAGCGUGUAGGUAUUGUUCAGAACAACUGAGUUAUUCUGAUCCAGCUGUUGAAUCAGUCUCUUAUACUUCCGUGUCAAGCUAUUUGCAAAUAUCCUGCCUUACAACACAGUCCAAAUCCUGUUCACAUACACAUUCCACUUCAGUUUAUUAGUAUGCAGAGCUUUAAAUAUUGCUCCUCCAAAGGGAGAGGAUGUACUGGUUAAGUCAUUAGAGCACAGGGACAGCCUGGUCAUCAGCUGUACAAGAUUUUAUAAUUAACUGCAGUGUUUAGACAUCUUACUGUUCUGUGGGAUUGUAUUGAUCUAAAUAGUAUUCCUUUCUCACACACAUUGCCCCUGUUUUUUUUACUGUCCUGAUUUAGUUAGAGAAGCUGAUUAUUGCCUCCUCUUAGGACACAUUGAAAGUUUAUCAUUGUUAGAAUAUUUGGAUACAUGCCUGUAACCUAAACUAUGUUUCUGAGCAUCUCAAACUAGUAUCACACUGGUGAAGGAGAUCCCAUCUAGCCUACAUCUCCACUAACUUUUGAAGCAUGGUUGUCAAUUAGUAGAAACCCAUACACAGCUAUGAUGGGACUGUGCUUUAGUAUUGAUAAGUGAUGCGGAAAAGGGCAUGCAUGGAAAGUUUGUCUUCUAAACUGAAAUAGGGGAGCAAAAAUGAAAGUAACUUUGAGAGUGUUACAAAAUGAUUUUGCAAUACUGAAUAAAACAGGCAAAAAGAUGGCAGAUAAAAGUCUAUGUUGAUAAUUUCAAAGUGAUAUGCUUGGGAUUAACUCCUACAUUUUUUUUUUAAAUAUCAUCUUUAUUAUGAGGGGUUAGUUAUUAAUAGAAAAGCUAGAAGAAUUUAAGGAAUUACUAGAAACAAGUAACUUCUUAUAAAUGUAGUUUGUACUUGCACCUAGAAUACUGCUUCCUCAGCAAACACAUAAACAAUAUAGGAUAACAAUGAAAUGUACUGAUAGCAACAGCAGAGAAGAUCAGUAGUCAGAAACAACAAUAUGUGGAAUUGAAAUCUUCUGCACUGAAAAAAGUGACUGAGAACAUGACAAAGACCACCAAAAGAAAUUCAUUUAACUAAAUUCUUAAACCACAAAUUUAAGAAAAGGAACUACAUAACUAAAUGUGGAACUCACUGAUAUAAGUUACUGUGGAGCAAAACGCUUGGACGGAUUCAAAAGUGAUUAGACAAAUUAAUGACAGACAAUUUAAAAAGUCAGGACUUUUCACUCCUCUACUCAGGAAAACCACAUGCUACAGACUAUGGUAAAUGGGGGUAUACCAGGAGUGGUACCAUUGUACUUGUCCCUUUCUUUCUUCUUUCCCCAGCCAUCUAUUACUGUGUCUUUGAGUCAGAGUUGCCUUCUUGAAAGAGUAAGCUCUGAAUCAAAUCUUUAUUAAAAUGAAGUAUUAAAGUGUAAAACAUUUCUCAUUCAUGUAAACGGACAUUUUAAAGUACAAUUGGAAAUUUUCUGUCAGCAAUAUUCAAAUUUAUUAGAUGAGUUUAUUCCACUCCGGCAGCACCUCCAACUAAGCAAAAUGAAUCCAAAAGCAAUCUACCUAAUAUUAUUGUGCUUUCAUAUAGUACCACCUACAAGGAUAAAAAGCACUUUGAAAGCGGAGGUUGACGUCACACUCACCAAAUUCGGUACUGAGUACAGUCCUAUUUUAUUAGUUGGUUGGUUUUGUCAACUACAGCUCAAGAAAUAUUUUCUUUUGAAAGUUAGAGCUUGAUAGCACUUGAUACCCUUUCUUUACACUUGAGUUUAAUAUCUACUUAGACAAAAUGAUACCAUUGUGAUAGUAAGUUAACUGUGCCUAAAUUUGGAGAAAAUGGUAUAAAAACUAUUUUUAUAACACUGUUUCUUAUCCUUAAGAAAGUUUCCCCAUGCUUUAUGUCUUCUCUGAGCCUCUAAAUACUGGAUAGAAUUUGGAAUAAAUGUUAGAAUAUAGUUCUUUACAUUACAGUCCAGCUUUACAGCAAACCACACACCAAGAACGAUUUUUUUUCCUUAUUGACAAGUUCUGUAUUAGAACAAGACUUACAAAAGGCUGAUCUUUACACAACAAUUAUUUUUCUGUUUUUCUCAAUGCAAAUAUCUAUGUUUUCAUUCAAUAAAAAAUUUCCUAUUAAAAAUACUUCUUACUUUUCCAUCUGCAUGAUGAAACCAGUAUACAAGUAUUAUAUAUUGAUGUUCAAUUCACAUGAAAUAUUUAUUUAUUAUUCUGAUAUGCUAAAUUGCCAAACAUUGUUACAGAGAGUACCCUGAUAUUCUACUAUAAUUGAUAUUUACCUAUGUCAUUGGAAUAGCUAUAGAUUAUGAAAACGAACCCACAGACUAGUGGAAAGAAUUUCCACAAGUUUCAUUUAAGUGUUCUAUCACUUUAUCUAGAAGCUAUGUUUCUGGGGAGUAGGAAGUAUUUUUGAGGGUUAAGGACUAGGCAGUAGUAGAAAUAAGUCUAGGUCUUUGAUAUCCAUCCUGCAUUCAGCAUAUAAAAAAAUAACAUUCCUCUUAAAUAAAUUAUUGCCCCACUCCCCCUUUUUUAUUGUAUUGCACUUAUACAUACUGUGUAACUUUGAAAAAGUAGAAGUGUAAUCAUAAAUAAAAAAUAUUUCUAGAAAAGUUGGCAUCAUUCAUUAAAGUCUGUAAUUCUUUAAGACAUAACUGUAUAAUAAAAAGGAAAAUUUACAUCUAUGGCUAAGAAGGAAAUAUGCUAUUGAGAGCAGGUAUAAUAACAGGUGAUAGCUAAACAAAAAGGCACAAUAGGUCUGGAUCUGACCUGCAUUGUGGGAAGUGCUGGAAUCAGCUGAGGAAAUGGAAGGCAGGCAAGAAAGGAAAGAAAGAAGGAAAGGAAGAAGAAAGGAACAGAGGAAGCCACUUGUAUCGUAUUGAACUCAGAGAUGGUAAGCUGUGAGAUUCUGGCAAUCUCUAAAACAACAACAACAUUAACAACAACAACAACAAAAAACAUUAAUCAAAGCUGUAGUAGCAAUUGGGUUGCUAAGCAUUUAAGAACUGCCCUCAGGGGUGGGGGUGGUACUGAAAAUUAGAUAUAUAUCACAUAGGAUCUCCAAUUGGAGGAAGGAGUCUCACCAGACUUCUAGGAAGGGUUGAAGGGGAAAUAAACACCAACUAGCUGUCAAUAGAAAGGCUAUAAUCACAGCUGAUCCUUCACUGGGCAACAAAUCUCCAUGAGAUAUAAGAAGUAACUCGGGGUCAGAGCCACAAACAUUUUCUCUAAUUUCAUAUGUCAUUCAACAGGUACGCCAUGAAAUGGAGGCUACUGAGGAUAAAAUAAUUGCAUUUUCAGAUUUGUAUGUGAACUGAUCUGGGAAUAGGUGAAAUAGUGUUGGAGACUGGAGAUAACAAAGCUGAGGCUUAAAGCUGUCAUCUGUUACUGUUUAUUAAUAUGUACCUGAAUGGCAGACAUAUAUCAUAGAACAGUACCAAGACUGUAGCCUCUGAUGAGGCUUACUCAUGAAAAACGGAAAUGAAGAUCUUGUUAUAAACCAUCACUUUGGUCAGUAGUAUCUGUUACAGGCUAAUGAGGAUGGACAAUAUUGCCUCUCACAACUCAUAGCAACGAGGAAUCUCAACCCAUUUUGGGGUUACAAGUUGCAGGAAGUCACUCAGACAAAAAUGAAAAUACAUGUGCUAAGGAUUGAUGACUUUCACAUUCCAAUAUAUUUCUCAAAAAGGUAUUUCUGGACUUGUACCCAAGGCAUUUUAAUUUCCUGGGAUUUACAGUACCCAAAGAGGAUCUGAAUCCAAAUCCUCACUUACACAAUAGAGAGUGAAAAUGAACCUCUGUGAUAGGAAUAUGCCCAAAAAGGUACAGGUGAAGUUUGAAGACAUACAUAGGGAAUGGAAAAGCCACCAAGCAAUAGACAAAAUGAAAAACUGAAGAAAAGAAUAACUGGAAAAAUAAAUAUAUCUAGAAAAAAAAAAGACAUAGUAGGAGAAAAUCAGCACGGAAGACAAGAGCUAGAGGCUCACUGAUAAUUUUGUAGGAGAAAAUAUGGUAAAAAUAAAAGGUGUAGCAUAAAGCCAGUUUUAAGGCAAAGUCUGCAAUACAGCUGAAUGACUGAACUCAAGACCAUAUAGCCUGCCCAAUGGCUCUGUUCAAGGUACACCAAAAGGCAUAGCUUCAUACCUAACACCCGCUGCUAGGGUAAAAAAGCUACAGCUUGAAUGCCUGACAGAGGGUGGAUAAGCAUAGAACAGACACUUUAAGAGGAGCAGCUCAUAUGGCUGUGUUCCUCAAUGAGCUGCUCUGUGUGCCUGCACUCAUCAGCAUCUCAUAAUACUCAUCCCGUGAAUACAUAAUGGAUUUCUGCGUCAUGUUCAAAGGCCAGUCUGAGUAAUUAUAGUUUAUUCCAAUUUUCCUGUGAGAUUUCUACUCAGAUAUGGUUGUUGAUAGACUAACAAAUAAAUAUUAUUAAAUUAUGUGCUUUUAUGCUUGUGCUGCAUCAAAGUCAAUGUCAUGGUUGAAAACACAAAAUCAGUGAAUGCAAUUUACAACAUAUAACUACAUGGUGAACUGAAUCCUCACCUGAUUUGCCUUCUUAAAAAUCUCUGCAGGAGGGGAAAGUGAGGAAGAAUGAGAAAUUCUUAUGAUGGCUUUCCUUCUAAAGCUAUAAAUUAGGAAAGGAACAACAAUAAUAUUUUUUUGCUUAGAGCUGACUGUAAUAGCUUUUAAUUACAGGAACGCUAAAUGCUUGCUCAAUGUUACAAGGUAAAAGAGCUUGGAGAGGUUUUCUAAAUAAGGUUGGAUAUAGGUUGAGGGAUUGAUUUUUUUUUUUUUUAUUCUGAUCCCAUCUAAAUGUAGAACCACAAAUAAAAAAGUCAUCACAAAUUUAUUAAGUCUUAUUAUUACAGGCAAAGGGAUGCAGAAUUAGAAUUUAAUUAGAAUUCAGAGCUAAUCAAAUAAUAUAUGAAGGUAUCAGAGUUAGAACCCUAAAUUUGGUGGUGCUUUUUUCUUUUCAAAUUUAAAAAAUAUUUGAACACUCAUUAAGGAAGCUUGGUGGUGAACACCUGCCCAUACAGCAUCUGGUGUAAGGGUAGUGCUUAUUUAAAAAGAACCGAUGUAUGACUAGGACAAUAGUUCCAUGCCCCCAACCCCUAACCAGUGUUAAUAUAGUCUUAAGCCAAGUCCUGCUCAGUUCCCUCAAGUUUUAUGAACAGUUUCAUUGGCAGGGUGGGGCUGGAAACAGAGAAGUUCAGAAUAAAUAAAAGAGAAAAAAAAAAAAAGUCAAAGGGUGAGAACUGUUUCAGCAAAAUUCAAUAUGGAGAAUUUCCAAGGAACCAGACCAAGCAAUAAAACAGUAUCUGGAAAACAGAAUUAUAAAGAUACAUGGAAGUGGAAAGAAAUGAAUGAAUGUAAUUCACAUUGCUCACAGAGGAAUAAUUUGCCAACGAAAUGAGUAUUUUGCUAUUUAAUGUUUUCUGAAUAGUCUAUGAAUUAGUACUUUGUUUUAAAAAUGCUGUCCUGAGAAAAGAUGAGUCUGCCCAGAAUGACUCAAAGGCUUCAUGGUUGACAGCAAUUGCAUUUUAAAGGUCUUCAUUUACAGAAGUAUAAUAAAAAGUAUUUUAGACACCUCUAAAUAUCAAAAUGGCUUUCAAAGUAUUAAAAUUUCCCUAAAUAUCUCAUACAUUCUUCAAAUAAGAGUUAAUGCAGGAAUGAAAUGCAAAUAAAAUAAGCAAGUGAACCAUAAAUAUACAUAAAAUAAGUAAAUUUCAUUUAUAUAAACUAUGAAUGUCAUUUGCUAACUGUAUACCAUACAGUGAUAACUGACAGAAAAAUGUGAAGCUCUUUAAAGAUAUGGUAACAAUUUCUGAAACGAAGGGCAACAUCUCUGUGGUGACAGAUAUGGAAAAGAAAAUGACCUAGCUAUUUCCAGUAUAUGAGAUUUGGAUCAGAAAAAAAGCAGAACUGCCACUUCAAAGGGUAAGUUUUUUUCUAGUCUUCAGAAACUGCAGUAAUUAUUAGUAUUAUGCAUGCAAUAUCUAUAGGACUUUUGCAAACAAAAAAAAGAAACUAGCUAUAAUACAUGGCAAGUUGAGCUGUUCUAUGCAGUCUAUGAAUCUUGCAGCUUUUUUUUCAUUAGCUGACUUUUUCAUACCUGGGUUACAAGUGAAAGAGGAAAACACAUUUUAACAAGCACAGUUUGAAAUUCGAAACCACAUUAAUGAAUUGAAAGAAUUCAAUGAAACUUAGGACAACAUAAAAUGAGGUUGCUCAACUCCGUGGUUAGGUUUUCUUUUGUUAACAAACCAGUUUUCUUCAGAUUGAAGUCUGUACCAGAAUAAGAUUUAAUCAAUAGUAAAAUUCUUCAAAAUUUCUUUGCAAAGGUGUUACUUACUAUUGCAGUUAGCUUGCAUGGUAAAUGAAUGAAAUGAAGGAAAAUUAUCACUCAUAGUGUCAAAUCAAAGACAUAUAUGCCAUUUAACAGACGGGACAGUGGUCAUUCUUCCAUUCUAUUGCUCUUCUUGAAGUGUUCAUUUUUCCCAGUGAAAACCUGGAGUGACCUAAUUCAAAACUGAGGCAUCUCAUUUUAUCUUAAGGGGAGCAAAUGAAAAGCAUGUCUCAUUUUUACCUUGCAACAAAGUCAAAGUUCCCUGAUACAUUCAGAAGCUGACUGCUGCUAAAUUAGGCAGAAAAAUCAUUUGCAUUGUUUCCCCACAGUAUACAAUGAAAUCUUCCAACCGCUUAUGCUCCAAGUUUAGCUCUUAAAAUACCAAAGAUUUCAGCAAGUCUUUACCAGCUGUUAGCCAGUGGGAGUGUAGAUACUGUUCAAAUGUUAAAACAAAAAACUUGAAACAUUAGAAGCUAAAUUGUGAAAAUAUCCUUUUCAGAGUCCUUAUUUCAUCAUUUUUCAUCCAUCAUCUUUCUCCAUAUUCAUCUGAAGUUCAAUUUCAUCUCAGUCUUGAAUUUAUCAGUGAGAAUAAAUGCCUACUUAGAAAACAUAUAGAGUGUAUUUCCUAUAGCAGUUGACUGCUGUACUAGUUCUAUGUGGAGGGGUUUUGAUAGAUAAAGAUUUGUUGCUGAAUUAGUCAGGCUCAAAGGAAUCUCAAGGCCUCUUAGAGAAGCUGAGAACAGAAUCUGCUGUGAGAAAGAGAGGCGUUCCUCAAUCACCAGGGUCCUGGCGUGGCCUUAAUCAUCGGACGUAUCAUCAGUGAGACUCCAGCGCAUGGACAGCCCACAAUACUAAUUUAGCGAAUCCACGCUUGGAGCGUGGACAUGUGAUUAGAAUACAGUUAUGUAUAUAAGGAGACCUGUUUCUGUAAUAAAUGGCUUUAGCGUGAUUCACAUUGAAUCGACUUGUUUUGCUGAGUCCUUAUUUCGUUCCUACAAAUGGUGACCCCGACGUGAUACUCUGAAUGGCGUACCACUGAGGUUGGGGAAAAGCCUGGAGCGGCCCAGCCGGAGGCGGAUCAGCUGGACUGAAGACUGGGCAGAGGCAUACAGACGCUCCGCAUUUUUUUGAAGAAGUCACCGUAAAGGGGCCCCCUUCCUGAGCGGUCGUACUGCAGCCCAUAAAGAGCGGAGGGAGUGGGCGUGUAGAUCUGCACCCGCGCACCGUGGCCAUGCAGUGAGUGCCCACCGGCAAGACUGUAGCCGUGGGACAAGCUGCCGCGCUGCCAGCACCAGGUGAAACGCUGCAAGGGAGAGGCCAUCGCGCCCCAGCUCAAGAUGCAGAGGUUCAUUAGUUUCCUGUUUCUGUCUUUAAUCCUUUGUGCCACCCUGUCAGAAACACUUGGACUGGUUUUCUCAGCAAAAGAAAAAAAGGGCUGGACUUUGAAUAGUGCUGGUUACCUGCUUGGGCCAUGUGGAGAAUCACAAAUGCAGAUGAUAAGAAAACUGAAAUGCAGUGAUGCAGUAGAUAACCAUAGAUCUUUUAAUAACAAACAUCAUUUCAAUGGUAAACGUGAAAUACAGUCUGAUGAGGAUAUUAAAUCAGCCAACACAAUGCAAAUUCUGCUAACACUUAGGGAAACUUGGAAGACCAGUGGCUGAGGAAAACAUCAUGCGCACAGUAACUGAGUUUUUGACAUACUUGCAUCUUAAAGAGGUAGGAGCACUUGACAAACUACCUUCACCAGAGGAAACAAACCAGUUUUGAGGAAGAAUGCAUUUUUAUGUUUCUGUAGUGUAGAUUUAGAUUCAAUUCAAAACAAAAGAACCAGAUGAGCUGAAUAUAAAAAGUAUUGUUUGCAUUAAUCUGAGAAACGGUAAACAGCAUUGGGCCCUCUGUUUUUUGUUUGUUUGGGGUUUUUUUGUUUGCCUUCCCCCCCCCCCCCCCCUUUUUUUUCCACUCCUUUCCUGUGAUGUUGUGGUGUGAAGUUUUGCCUUGGCAAAAUUUUUCUGUAGGUAAAUGGUAAAAUAAAAAUAAGGAGCAACUA